GUUCUCUUGUUUCUCUCAUUCAGCGCCUCUUCGCCUUCAACCUUAUCUUUAUUCUCUUUUUCCCCUUUUCUUAUCGACUUCUACGAAUCCAGAUGUAGUUCUUCUUUCGUCUCCGUCACGCCUUCGUGACUGGAUCUACAUGGAUCGGAACCAGAUCUACACGCCGACGGUGGUUUUGGCCAUUCAAUCGGAGUCUUGCAUCGAUCAGGUUUCUCUUAGAUCUGAUGUUUUUAGCGUCUGAUCUAUGGUACAGAGGUGUGCGCUUCAUGUUCGUCUUGCCUUUGGAAUCUUUUUCGUUGAAAGUCGUUUCGUCUUGCAUAUGCCAAGCCUCUUGAGGUACUUUUUUGCAGGUAUAGCGGAGAACCGAUGACAAGAACGCAGAUUCGCGCCGAUCGGUUUAGUUGCUCUCGCUUUCUUGAUUUCUAUGUAUGCACGUCGGAUUGUUCUUGCUUGUUUCUGAAGCGGUGUCUCUUCCGCCGGCUACAUAUGUUGCAGAUCUCGGAUGUUUUAAAUUUAGUGUAUGAUGUGAAGCUUUGAGGUGGAAAUUAUGUGGAUGUAGGAGAUUUCGGGAUGAAUUUACCUCAAAACGCUUCGUCGGUUGGGGUUUUUGAGUCCUGAGUGAUCUUGUCAUCCGACCUUUGCCAUGACAGGUGCGCUUGCAUGGCAGGUCAAAAAAUCUUAAUAAAAAAAAGUUUUAUUGGUUUGGGGAGAGAUCGCACGGGAGUUGCCCGGGGUCUCUCCCGCGUGUGGUGUGUGCUGUGCUCCUUUUCGUUAUGCCUUUUAUUAUUACCUAUCUGUCGCUCCACUCCGUAUUUCGACUCUGGAUCAGAUGGAUACGUCAGAGGAUAUGCUCCAACUCCUAUCGAAUAAGGUAUUAUCUAUCAAUUUACACUCGAAAGGAUUAGGGUUUACACUCUUACUUAAUUACCUAGUUAAAACCGGUAGCAGUUUUAAUUUUACAAUUAAUCAUCGGCAUAGUUACUGCAGAGCAAGUAAAUCGUUAGAUCCAGUUAUAAUUAUAAUCAUAAUUAAAUUUCAAGAUUAAUUAAUUUAAUUUAUUCAGAUGGUAAUUUAAGUAAUAUUGAUCCGAAGUUUUGGUAAUCUUAUUGGCAGAAGUUGCUAGGUGGAGUUCAUUGAUAGUUACUUUCUGAAAGGUAAAGGGGUUGGGGGUAUUAAACCGAGUUGUAUGACUCUUAAUAUCACCAGAUAAUCGGUAUUAUGAAAAAACCAAAUUCAGCCCUUUUGAUCUGUGUAAUUAUUUAAAUUAUUAUAUUUAUUUAGUAAUUACAUGCGACAUCAUUUAUUGUUUUUAAUCUCAAGUUUCCGAUUACCUAUUCAGUUUUUAUACUUUUGCUGGUAUCAUUUCGAUUAUUUCAAGUUACCUUUUUAGCUCGUAAACUCCGGUGGCUUGUAUACAAUCAAGAUCGACAUCUGUAUUUUCGGUCUUUGUAUCAAUUUUGUACGCUUAUUUAUAUGUAAGGAGUUCAGCUUCGGCUGUCAACAUUUGUAAUGCAGAAAUAGGUUAAUUUCAAAGCAAGUAAUGUGAGGAACGUAGGAUUCUCACUUAUCAAAUUUGAGGGCGCAACGCGGCUUGUAUCAUACUCAGCGAGAACACCAUUGGAUUGGACAAGGCAUUUUUGAAGAAAAAUCGUCGAUUAAGAUUCUGAUUUUGGCUUCUUCAACUAUUAAGGUGAAGAUAACUUCGGCUCUUGAAAGAAAAGAAUUAUACUUGAUAAUAAUUUUGGUUAUUCUGUAUACAUAUAUUGUCUCAUGUUUCAUUCUCUCAUGCGGUGUUAUUAGGCAGUAUAAAUACUUAUUCAGAAGUUUCGCUAUAUAUAAUUAGCAUUUUUAUUUUUCAAUAAUUUAUUUAUUAAUAUACAUGUUUUGGAUGUUUAUAAUAUUCAGAUUGUGUCA